rnacentral:rRNA from 1 species
UACAGAGACUGCGAGCGUUAUUCGGAUUCACUGGGCGUAAAGGGUGCGCAGGCGGCUUUGUGUGUGAGGCGUGAAAGCCCGGGGCUUAACCCCGGAAUUGCACCUCAAACUACAAGGCUAGAGCAUUGGAGAGGGUAGCAGAAUUCCCAGUGUAGAGGUAGAAAUUCGUAGAUAUUGGGAAGAACACCGGUGGCGAAGGCGGCUCUCUGGACCGAUACUGACGCUGAGGCGCGAAAGCGUGGGGAGCAAACAGG